AGCGAACGCUGGCGGCAGGCUUAACACAUGCAAGUCGAACGGAUCCUUCGGGAUUAGUGGCGGACGGGUGAGUAACACGUGGGAACGUGCCUUUAGGUUCGGAACAACACAGGGAAACUUGUGCUAAUACCGGAUAAGCCUUUCGAGGGAAAGAUUUAUCGCCUUUAGAGCGGCCCGCGUCUGAUUAGCUAGUUGGUGAGGUAAAGGCUCACCAAGGCUACGAUCAGUAGCUGGUCUGAGAGGAUGGCCAGCCACAUUGGGACUGAGACACGGCCCAAACUCCUACGGGAGGCAGCAGUGGGGAAUCUUGCGCAAUGGGCGAAAGCCUGACGCAGCCAUGCCGCGUGGAUGAUGAAGGUCUUAGGAUUGUAAAAUCCUUUCAGCGGGACGAUAAUGACGGUACCCGCAGAAGAAGCCCCCGGCUAACUUCGUGCCACGCCGCCGCGGUAAC
rnacentral:rRNA from 1 species